AAUUUAACAAACCCUCGAUAUCAUAGAUAGGAACCCUGGCCCCAAAUCUACUAACAACAGCCACGACAAAGACCAUCGGCAAACUCAAUGGAAACCAGUAGAAACCCAUUUGUCACCGCAUCGGUGAUAACAUCAACUAGUCGGGAUGCUCCUUCUACACUCAAGAGGAUAACCUCGGUAAACAUCAUUGGCAAGUUAAAUCUCUACGUUUAUUAGCCACUGCUGAUGACCUUUCAUCAGAAAAUAACUGUCGCAAAUAACAUAUGUCUCCAUCACUGAAGAAAUCUAGAACGAAGAAGCCCUAACCCUUCUUCAUAGAUGAACUCCACUGUCGAGAGGCCCUAAUUGACCUACCAUCACCAAGAUUUUGGGAACUUCUUCAAAUAAUCAACACAGCCUUUGUGAUUUCGCACUAGAGAGAUAGAAGCCUCUAUUGCUUAUAGAUAUCAACUAUCAGGUCUUUAUGGGUCUAUUUGGUGAAUCUGAAAAAGUCAAGUGGCGUGGAACAUGGGUUGUUAAAACCGUAAUUAGAAGACAAAUUUAUGAUGAUCGUGUUACAAUGUUGCAAAUGAAAUCAAUAUGAUCUUCAAGGUGUCAAAAGAAGAAAAAUUGUCACGUUGAAGAAAGUGAUUCCAAAAAUCAUGAAGAUUACGUGAUUGAACUCAUUAGGAGGUUGAAUUAGGUUUUUGCAUAUUAUGGUUUAUUUUAAUGGUUUUUUUCCUUAGCUUUUGUUCUUAUAUUAAAAGAAUUGUAAAUUAUAGUCCAACAAUUUGUGUGUAAUCAUUAUAUAAGUAGUUAUAUUAAUUGCUUAGAUUAGGUAAUUGUAUAU